rnacentral:lncRNA from 1 species
GUCUCCCCCGUCCGCUGCCCGGUCUCCUGUGGCCGCCCCUGCCUUCUGCCCGGUCCCUGUCCUGUGCGUCGGGCCCUUCCCAAGGUGCAGAGGGCGCCACUGCAGACCCGAGGUCGCGGCCACCGGCUCCUGGGCCAGGCCCUUUUUCUCUCCUCGAGCCGUCGGGGGAGGGUCUCCAGGGUGCUUGUUUGGGGAAAGCGGAAACAGACUGUCUGGGCCGCUGUUAAAAUGUCAGCAGCCAAGGAAGAAGCAGCGACCUGGCGUCUGCUCGGGCCAGGGUUGAUAGAGAGGAGUGGAGUGAUAUCGGACACCCAGCUUCAGCAAGCUCUCUCCAAGGGUGAGUGGGCCAGUGGGACCUGGGCCUCGGGACCAAGAAGCCGCGAGCCUGCCCUGCUCACAGUGGAUAACUUUCUUUCUGAAGUUGAUUUUCCAAGGACAAAGGAAUCAUUAGGACAAAUUAUUAUUACUGCUUCAUGGUGGAGAUGCUUCUGGUUUAUUUUGUGGCUACCGCUGUCACUGCUUGGAGUGCCUCACCGAGCCAGCUAACAACUGCGUGCGUGAGCACAGGGAAAGGCUUCUUGAGAAAUGAAAACUAGGUUGUAGGUUUAGGAGGGGAAUAGGAAGGUUAGCUCUGUCCAGCCGAAAGCCUUUUGGUCAGUUGGAGGUGCUUGAAUUUCCUGGGUGACUGCAUCUUGGUGACUUCUCUGAAUAGACCUUCGAGGGCACUGGGGGGUGAUUGUUGGAGGGCUUGGGGAGCUCAGGCAGCACUUGUGUGGGAACGUGGCUGUUACAGGAACUGCAAGAAACGUGGGGCUGGGUUCCGUAGGGGAAAGGAUUGGGGGUGUUGGAGGCGCUGGCAGGGGAGUUAUGGGGAGGUGUUCUUAUCAGUGUGCGAAUACUGGGCGUUCAGGCAGCGGGAAAUCCGGGUCCUUGCGUGUUGUGAGCUCCCUGGAGUUACGUUCUUGCCAGUUUCAGCUCAAUUGAUCCCCCUCCCCUGAGCUAUCAUUGGAUACAUUUUACUUCAUUGAACACCUGACUGCUGCUUUUUCUGUAAUCCCUCAGGGGCAGUCAUCUUUUUCUGAUUCUGUGUAUAGUUUGCCUUUCCAGAUCCGUGCCAUUUAAGCUAGAAAAGGGGUCAGUUUUGAGAUGUUGUGAAAAUGUUGAAAAGGUCUCCUCGUUAUUAGUGGGAAGUAUCUGAUGUUGCCAGAGACUGAACUGGGGCGCGGGGAGCACUACGGCUGCUAGACACUGCCUCACUGCGCUGUGGGUUGGGCGGAGGGGGGUGCUGGAUUCAGUCUUACUGCCUAAUGAUUUGUGAGGAUUUGUGUUUUCAGAGUAACAUGUUUACCUUAUGUUAUCAGUUCCUAAUAUGUGACGUAUGGGCCACAGAUGCUGGUGUAUUAUUUCACAUGCAUUUAUAUAGAUUGUUUUCAGGGAAUUCAGAAAUUCUGUUAUCUCUACACUAGUGAUUGUGCUUUCUUGAUUUUUGUCUUUUCAUUAUUCUUAAAUCCUCCUUUUUUUAUUUGCAUCUCAGUUUAUUUAUACUCGGGAAGUGCAAGACAUGGCGACUAGAAAGAGAUGUCAAGAGAACCCGGAAUCCAGUAGGCUACAAUUUGGCAAAUCUUAGCUUAAAACUUCCUAAAUGUUGACCACAGUGGAUGCAAAUGGCUCUGUGCAUCGUCUGUUCAAUAUGGUCAGGUGACCACCCAGGUUCACGUGGUUUGUCACCAGGGUGAUACGAGCCACACGGAGUGCCCUCCUCAGAGGCCAUGUCUCAGAGACGUUUAUUUUGAGUGGUUUUCCAGCGAGUGAUGCAAGAUUUAUGAUCCAUUUUAACAGCCUGCUUUUUAUGCAUUUGCUCAACUUUUUAGAUUUUAGGUUUAGUUUUAGGUUUUCUGUUAAACUUGCUCAAAUAGGAGUGGUGGUCAAAUACUGGACCUCAUUAGUAUGGUAGCCUGCCCACCUUGGCAGGCUCCACUGGAGUGCUUUGGGGCCUGCCUGGAUUCCAGUCCUGGCUCUACCAGUUUUGUGUCCUCGCUGUUACUGGGAGGGAGUAUUGAGGAAAUGCAUGCGAGGUGUUUCCAUGAUUCCUGGCACGGAGCAAGUGCUCAGUAAUUGUCAGCUGUGAGUAUUAGUAGUAGCUAAUACACUGCUACUAUUCUUGGCUAACAAGCCAGCUCAAAGCUUUGAUGGUUUUCCAUUACCUGAUGAUGGUGAUGAUGGUUUCCACUUACUGAACACUCACACGCUGGGCUAGGCACUUAACCCAAAUCCAAGGUCAGCAUUAUUGUUUGGGGGUUGGGGAGACACCUCCUGCUCUGACUUGUGUGUUUGGGUUCCCGUAUUUUCACCAGAGGGUGUUAGUCCUGCCCCAGUUCAGCUGGUCCUCAAAGUGUAUAUAGCUCUUUAACCAUCAGCAAGUGUCUAUCAGAACAUAAUCUUGAUUUCAGCUGCUACUAAAUAU